rnacentral:rRNA from 1 species
AGCGAACGCUGGCGGCAGACCUAACACAUGCAAGUCGAACGAACCUUUCGGGGUUAGUGGCGGACGGGUGAGUAACACGUGGGAACGUGCCUUUAGGUUCGGAAUAACUCAGGGAAACUUGUGCUAAUACCGAAUGUGCCCUUCGGGGGAAAGAUUAAUCGCCUUUGGAGCGGCCCGCGUCUGAUUAGCUAGUUGGUUGAGGUAAUGGCUCACCAAGGCGACGAUCAGUAGCUGGUCUGAGAGGAUGAUCAGCCACAUUGGGACUGAGACACGGCCCAAACUCCUACGGGAGGCAGCAGUGGGGAAUCUUGCGCAAUGGGCGAAAGCCUGACGCAGCCAUGCCGCGUGAAUGAUGAAGGUCUUAGGAUUGUAAAAUUCUUUCACCGGGGACGAUAAUGACGGUACCCGGAGAAGAAGCCCCGGCUAACUUCGUG